rnacentral:miRNA from 1 species
UUGACAGAAGAGAGAGAGCAA